rnacentral:rRNA from 1 species
UCACCAGACUCCUACGGGAGGCAGCAGUGAGGAAUAUUGGUCAAUGGGCGCUAGCCUGAACCAGCCAAGUAGCGUGAAGGAUGACUGCCCUAUGGGUUGUAAACUUCUUUUAUAUGGGAAUAAAGUGCAGUAUGUAUACUGCUUUGCAUGUACCUUAUGAAUAAGGAUCGGCUAACUCCGUGCCAGCAGCCGCGGUACUACGGAGGAUCCGAGCGUUAUCCGGAUUUAUUGGGUUUAAAGGGAGCGUAGGCGGGUUGUUAAGUCAGUUGUGAAAGUUUGCGGCUCAACCGUAAAAUUGCAGUUGAUACUGGCAUCCUUGAGUACAGUAGAGGUAGGCGGAAUUCGUGGUGUAGCGGUGAAAUGCUUAGAUAUCACGAAGAACUCCGAUUGCGAAGGCAGCUUACCAGACUGCGACUGACGCUGAAGCACGAGAGCGUGGGUAGCGAACAGGAUUAGAUACCCCCGUAUU